CCCUUAGAUGUUCUGGGCCGCACGCGCGCUACACUGAUGCAUUCAGCGAGUCCAUCCUUGCCCGAAAGGGCUGGGUAAUCUUUUGAAAUUGCAUCGUGAUGGGGCUUGCGGGUUGCAACUACCCGCACCAACGAGGAAUUCCUAGUAAACGCAAGUCAACAACUUGCAUUGAUUACGUCCCUGCCCUUUGUACACACCGCCCGUCGCUCCUACCGAUUGAGUGGUCCGGUGAGGCUUUGGGAUCUGAGCGGAAAGAGCGUUUCGCUGUUUCUGCUCGGAAAACUCAGUCGAACCUUAUCAUUUAGAGGAAGGAGAAGUCGUAACA
rnacentral:rRNA from 1 species